CAAGAUUUGAAGAAAUCACAGUGGUUAGAAAUGGAGGAACCCAUGGGAACGUCUCUGUGAAUUGGGUGUUGACACGGAACAGCAGUGAUCCCUCACCAGUAACAGCAGAUAUCAGACCGAGUUCUGGAGUUCUCCAUUUUGCACAAGGGCAGAUGUUGGCAACAAUUCCUCUUACUGUGGUUGAUGAUGAUCUUCCAGAAGAGGCAGAAGCUUAUCUACUUCAAAUUCUGCCUCAUACAAUACGAGGAGGUGCAGAAGUGAGCGAGCCAGCGGAGCUUUUGUUCUACAUUCAGGAUAGUGAUGAUGUCUAUGGCCUAAUAGCAUUUUUUCCUAUGGAAAACCAGAAGAUUGAAAGCAGCCCAGGUGAACGAUACUUAUCCUUGAGUUUUACAAGACUAGGAGGGACUAAAGGAAAUGUGAGCCUUCUUUAUUCUGUACUUUACCUUCCUGCUGGAGCUGUGGACCCCUUGCAAGCAAAAGAAGGCAUCUUAAAUAUAUCGAGGAGAAAUGAUCUCAUUUUUCCAGAGCAAAAAACUCAAGUCACUACAAAAUUACCAAUAAGAAAUGAUGCAUUCCUUCAAAAUGGAGCUCACUUUCUAGUACAGUUGGAAACCGUGGAGUUGUUGAACAUAAUUCCUCCAAUCCCACCCAUAAGCCCUAGAUUUGGGGAAAUCUGCAAUAUUUCUUUACUGGUUACUCCAGCCAUUGCAAAUGGAGAAAUUGGCUUUCUUAGCAAUCUUCCAAUUAUUUUUCAUGAACCAGAAGAUUUUGCUGCUGAAGUGGUAUACAUUCCCUUACGUCGGGAUGGAACUGAUGGCCAGGCUACUGUCUACUGGAGUUUGAAGCCCUCUGGCUUUAAUUCAAAAGCAGUGACCCCGGAUGAUAUAGGUCCCUUUAAUGGUUCUGUUUUGUUUUUAUCUGGGCAAAGUGACACAACAAUCAACAUUACUAUCAAAGGUGAUGACAUACCGGAAAUGAAUGAAACUGUAACACUUUCUCUAGACAGGGUUAACAUGGAAAACCAAGUGCUGAAAUCUGGAUAUACUAGCCGUGACCUAAUUAUUUUGGAAAAUGAUGACCCUGGGGGAGUUUUUGAAUUUUCUCCUGCUUCCAGAGGACCCUAUGUUAUAAAAGAAGGAGAAUCUGUAGAGCUCCACAUCAUCCGAUCGAGGGGGUCCCUUGUUAAGCAGUUUCUACACUACCAAGUAGAGCCAAGAGAUAGCAAUGAAUUCUAUGGAAACACGGGAGUACUAGAAUUUAAACCUGGAGAAAGGGAGAUAGUGAUCACCCUGCUAGCAAGAUUGGAUGGGAUACCAGAGUUGGAUGAACACUACUGGGUGGUCCUCAGCAGCCACGGAGAACGGGAAAGCAAGUUGGGAAGUGCCACCAUUGUCAAUAUAACGAUUCUGAAAAAUGAUGAUCCUCAUGGCAUUAUAGAAUUUGUUUCUGAUGGUCUAAUUGUGAUGAUAAAUGAAAGCAAAGGAGAUGCUAUCUGUAGUGCUGUUUAUGAUGUAGUAAGAAAUCGAGGCAACUUUGGUGAUGUUAGUGUAUCAUGGGUGGUUAGUCCAGACUUUACACAAGAUGUAUUUCCUGUACAAGGGACUGUUGUCUUUGGAGAUCAGGAAUUUUCAAAAAAUAUCACCAUUUACUCCCUUCCAGAUGAGAUUCCAGAAGAAAUGGAAGAAUUUACCGUUAUCCUACUGAAUGCCACUGGAGGAGCUGAAGUGGGAAAUAGAACAACUGCAACUCUGAGGAUUAGAAGAAAUGAUGACCCUAUUUAUUUUGCAGAACCUCGUGUAGUGAGGGUUCAGGAAGGUGAGACUGCCAACUUUACAGUUCUCAGAAAUGGAUCUGUUGAUGUGACUUGCAUGGUCCAGUAUGCUACCAAGGAUGGGAAGGCUACUGCAAGAGAGAGAGAUUUCAUUCCUGUUGAAAAAGGAGAAACGCUCAUUUUUGAGGUUGGAAGUAGAGAGCAGAGCAUAUCCAUAUUUGUUAAUGAAGAUGGUAUCCCAGAAACAGAUGAGCCCUUUUAUAUAAUCCUCUUUAAUUCAACAGGUGAUACAGUAGUAUAUCAAUAUGGAGUAGCUACAGUAAUAAUUGAAGCUAAUGAUGACCCAAACGGCAUUUUUUCUCUGGAGCCCAUAGACAAAGCAGUGGAAGAAGGAAAGACUAAUGCAUUUUGGAUUUUGAGGCACCGAGGAUACUUUGGUAGUGUUUCUGUAUCUUGGCAGCUCUUUCAGAAUGAUUCUGCUUUGCAGCCUGGACAGGAGUUCUAUGAAACUUCAGGAACUGUUAACUUCAUGGAUGGAGAAGAAGCAAAACCAAUCAUUCUCCAUGCUUUUCCAGAUAAAAUUCCUGAAUUCAAUGAAUUUUAUUUUCUAAAACUUGUAAACAUUUCAGGCGGAUCCCCAGGUCCUGGGGGCCAGCUAGCAGAAACCAACCUCCAGGUGACAGUAAUGAUUCCAUUCAAUGAUGAUCCCUUUGGAGUUUUCAUCUUGGAUCCAGAGUGUUUAGAGAGAGAAGUGGCAGAAGAUGUCCUCUCUGAAGAUGAUAUGUCUUAUAUUACCAACUUCACUAUUUUGAGGCAGCAGGGUGUGUUUGGUGAUGUACGACUAGGCUGGGAAAUACUGUCCAGUGAGUUCCCUGCUGGUUUGCCACCAAUGAUAGAUUUUUUACUGGUUGGAAUUUUCCCCACCACUGUGCAUUUACAACAGCACAUGCGGCGUCACCAUAGUGGAACGGAUGCUUUGUACUUCACCGGACUAGAGGGUGCAUUUGGGACUGUUAAUCCAAAAUACCAUCCCUCCAGGAAUAAUACAAUUGCCAACUUUACAUUCUCAGCUUGGGUAAUGCCCAAUGUCAAUACGAAUGGAUUCAUUAUAGCGAAGGAUGACGGUAAUGGAAGCAUCUACUAUGGGGUGAAAAUACAAACAAACGAAUCCCAUGUGACACUUUCCCUUCAUUAUAAAACCUUGGGUUCCAAUGCUACAUACAUUGCCAAGACAACAGUCAUGAAAUAUUUAGAAGAAAGUGUUUGGCUUCAUCUACUAAUUAUCCUGGAGGAUGGUAUAAUUGAAUUCUACCUGGAUGGAAAUGCAAUGCCCAGGGGAAUCAAGAGUCUGAAAGGAGAAGCCAUUACUGACGGUGAGGGUCAUCAUCACAACUAGGACACUGAAAUUUGCAGUUUCUAAAAUUUUUCAUUAAAAUUUAGAUUUUUUUAAAAAUGCUAACAUGUAUUUGAAAACUCUACUUAUGCAUUGGUUUAAUUUCUUUAAUCAAAACUAUGUGCCUACCAAGAUAAUGAGAAAUUCUGUCCUGAGUGUUACAGAAAUGAAUCAGAGAGUUUUGCCCUCGAAGAACCUGGAAUAGACACUAGCAGAGAGAUGUGUGAUAUAUCACGAUGAUACCUUGUAGGAAGACAGAAAAAAAUAUGAAAGAGGAAUGUUUGUCCUUCUGUGGGUAGUAGGAGAGAUGGGGAGUGAUAUUCCUGCAGAGGAAUGAACAAAAGAAUAGAAAUGUGAAACAGCAUGUUGUACCUGGGGAACUGCUGCUAGUUCAGUGUUGCUGGAGGUAGAGGGUGGUGGGCGUGAGGUUGAAAAGAAAGCAGGAGAGAAGAAUCACAGUGAAAAGUGAUUAUAGGGUUUAUACUAUCAGCAGGUAACUUGGUGAAUUCUGUGGAGUGCUUUGAAGAGAUGUUGUUUGUUGUCUUUAAACUAGAUCGUGUGCUGAUUCCUCAAGAAGCACAUUUGUGUGUGUGUGCACACAAAUACUGGUUAUAUGCAUUAUAGUCACCAUUCCCUCUCAGCCCCACUGUCUUAUGAUUUUAUUCUUUUUUAUAUUUAGUGAAAGAUAGAGUAGAGCUUAUAUGGCUAUAGCUUAAUAGAGUAUUUUCCUCUGAACCUCUCACAUUAGUUAUUUGGUUGUAUUUUUUUUUUCCCCAGAGGGGGAAAAAAAGAUAGGCAAAGGAAAAUGCACGUAUCUACCAAUUUCAAUCCCAUGGAUUUUGCUUACAAGCACUUUGUGGUAUUAUCCACUUUUUGGCUGUGUGAAUACCUACAAGUAUCUGUUAACCUUGAUUCUUUUGGUGAUGGUAGUGGUGGUGGAAUGAGAAUGGAAACGACUGGGGGAAGUGGGAGCUGGCGUUUUUUCCUCUGGCUUACUGCAAAGGAACUUGUUAUUUUUGUAAUUUGUAACUUGGAAAGAUAAUUUUUAAACUAUAUAUAAAGUUAUUGAACUGUAGUGCCCUUUAUAUUAUAAAAAUAUAAAAGUAUGCAUAUUGUAAGUGUACAGAUAAGUGAAAUUUUUAAAACUUAAAUUCAUCAGUUUCAGCAAUCAUGUGAUCAGCCCCCAGACCAAGAAAUAGCAUUCCAGAAGCCCCCUCUGACUCUUCUCCAGUUGCUAACUCACCACCCUGCCUACUGACUAUUGGCAUUUUUAAGAGCUUAAGAUUCACUUUUCCUAUUUUUAAAUUUAUAUAAAUAGAACUGAACAACAGGUACACUUGCGUGUCCAGCUUAUUUUGCUUAGUAUUGUUUGUGAAGUUCAUCCAUAUUUUUGCCUGUUGUAGAUAUUUCAUGCUCAUUACCAUAUAGAAUUAUCUUAUGUAACUGUAACACAAUUUAUUUAUUAGUGCUACUUUUAAUUUCUGUUUUGGUUGUUUUCAGUUCUGCCUACUACAUAUAGUACUUCUAUGGAUACUCUUAUACAUGUUUUUUGAUGAACAUAUGCCUGCCAUAUGCAUUUCUGUUGAGUACUUUCCUGGGGAUGGAAUUGCUGAAUGACAGUGUGUGCAAAUAUUCGGUUUUAGUAGAUAAUGCCUAUCCGUUUUCCAAAACAGUUGAACCUAAUUAUACUCUCACCUCUAGUGUAUGAGAGUUCCACUUCAUUAAUGCUUAGCUUCUUCCAUCUUUACUUUUGGUUUGUAGUGGUAUCUCACAGUAUCAUAAAAGGUGUAUUUUAAAAAAAAUAAUGCUGUGUUCAAUAUAGAAAAAUUGUAAAGUACACAUAUACAACAAAAAUAGAAAUCAUUUACAAUAAAAAUCAUUUACAAUC
rnacentral:sRNA from 1 species